GCCGACUCCAUUGAUCUACUAAAUCUUUUGCAAGUUUCCGGUUGGAUGUUGUUUCCUCAUCAGAUUUUGAUAGAAACAUAAUAACCUUUCCAAGGCCACUCUUCUUCAGCUGCUCUCUUCUAUCAUAUUGCUCAAGAUCUAUUGGAAAAUCAGUCAAAAUCUUCAAGAUUGCUUCCCGGAUAUUUAUAUUCGGCAAACUCCCAUCUGGUAGAGGUUCAAGCCAAUUCUUUAGAAGGGUUAGCACUCCGUGAUCCAAGAAUUCUUGUUGCAGCUGCUUCUUUGAAAGAACAUCAGUGAGAAGGGGCAACUUUUUCAGUUUAUUGACAGCAGGUUUCCCCUGCCUGUUAAGGUCUGCAUCCUCUUCAGCAGUGACCUCAAGCUCGGCCAUCACAUUCUCCACUAGCAAUGCUAUUUCUGCAGGACUUUUCUCAGUCUUCUUCUUCUUCUUACCCAUCUUGAAGAGCUGAUUAAUUUCAUCAUCUUCCUCGCCUUCCUCGGCCUCUGGAGCAUAGCGGGGAGAGCGUGGCUCGUCAUCACUUCCAUACCGAUCAGCAGGAUCCACACCACUAUCAUCUAUAAAAUUAUCAUCGUCAACUGUUCUGGUACCUUCAUGAUCAUCAUCAGAAGCGCCACCAGCAAUAGUCUCCCACAUCUCCUUGACAUCCCCAUCCUGAUCCUUCAUCCCCUUCCCUGAAAAGGCCUUCUUCG
rnacentral:misc_RNA from 1 species